AUUGAACGCUGGCGGCAGGCCUAACACAUGCAAGUCGAACGAGUGGCGGACGGGUGUGUAAUGUCUGGGAAACUGCCUGAUGGAGGGGGAUAACUACUGGAAACGGUAGCUAAUACCGCAUACCAUCAGAUGUGCCCAGAUGGGAUUAGCUUGUUGGUUGGGUAACGGCUCAACAAGGCGACGAUGCCUAGAUGGUCUGAGAGGAUGACAGGCCCCACGGGCACAGAGACACGGUCCAGACGCCUAGGGGCGGAAGCAGUGGGGAAUAUUGCGCAAUGGGCGCAAGCCUGAUGCAGCCAUGCCGCGUGUAUGAAGAAGGCCUUCGGGUUGUAAAGUACUUUCAGCGGGGAGGCGUUACCCGCAGAAGAAGCGCCGGCUAACUCCGUGCCAGCAGCCGCGGUAAUAC
rnacentral:rRNA from 1 species